rnacentral:tRNA from 1 species
ACCUGGCUGGCUCAGUCAGUAGAGCGUACGACUCUUGAUCUUGGGGUUGUGAGUUCACCCCAUGUUAGGUG